rnacentral:rRNA from 1 species
CCUACGGGAGGCAGCAGUGGGGAAUAUUGCACAAUGGGGAAAACCUGGUUCAACGACGCCGCGUGGGUGGAGGAGGAAUUCGGUAUGGAAAGCUCCAUCAGCCGGGGAGAAAAUGACGGUUCCUUAGUAAGAAAGCCCGGCUAACUACGUUCCCGCCGCCGCGGUAAUACGGAGGGGGCAAGCGUUAUCCGGAUUUACUGGGUGUAAAGGGAGCGUAGACGGCAGUGCAAGUCUGGAGUGAAAGGCGGGGGCUCAACCCCCGGACUGCUCUGGAAACUGUACGGCUGGAGUGCAGGAGAGGUAAGUGGAAUUCCUAGUGUAGCGGUGAAAUGCGUAGAUAUUAGGAGGAACACCAGUGGCGAAGGCGGCUUACUGGACUGUAACUGACGUUGAGGCUCGAAAGCGUGGGGAGCAAACAGGAUUAGAUACCCCUGUAGUC